AUUAAGAUGCACAUGUUUUAGAAGUUCAGAAAUACUAUUGCUCCUAUGCAUCACUUUUUCUUUAGUUACAGAGACUUAGGAUAUCAUUGGCCCAAGAUCCCCACCAAAGCUUCCAUUUUUUUCAUGCAUUCUUCUUAAACUGCAGUUUUUGGUGCAUGACGCCAAAGUACAAAAAAGAUAAUCAUAAAGAAAAAAAAUCUAAUCUUAGCACUUCUUGACUUUCAACCAAAGCAAUUUUGGUAUUUAUAUGUACUUAGGGCUGGAAAAUCAUUAGGUUAUAAAAUCUUAAAAUUUGAGGGAACAUUUUAGCACCAAAAACAAGGGCUGACCAACAAAAGUUAAGACAUGAAAGACAUCAUUACAAGGAGAAAAUUCCCUACCGUCAUCCACCUACACCUCAAUGCAACAUCACGUACAGUUUUAUCAGGCAAGGUGGCUGCAAUCUUUAUGUAUCUCA
rnacentral:misc_RNA from 1 species